CAAUAGCGUAUAUUAAAGUUGUUGCAGUUAAAAAGCUCGUAGUUGGAUUUCUGGUAGGAGUGACCGUUCCGAACUUGAUUGUUCGUGUAUUGUGUUUUCUCCAGCCAUCCUUGUGGAGAACUUUUCUUGCAUUAGUUUGUAGGGAUUGGGACCCGCAUCGUUUACUGUGAAAAAAUUAGAGUGUUUAAAGCAGGCAAUCGCUUGAAUACAUUAGCAUGGAAUAAUAAGAUAGGACUUUGGUACUAUUUUGUUGGUUUGCAUACCAAAUUAAUGAUCAACAGGAACAGUUUGAGGAUAUUCGUAUGAACAUGUCAGAGGUGAAAUUCUUGGAUUUUGAUCAGACGAACUACUGCGAAAGCAUUUAUCAAGGAUGUUUUCAUUAA
rnacentral:rRNA from 1 species